GACGAACGCUGGCGGCGUGCUUAACACAUGCAAGUCGAACGGUAAGGCCCUUCGGGGUACACGAGUGGCGAACGGGUGAGUAACACGUGGGUGAUCUGCCCCGCACUUCGGGAUAAGCCUGGGAAACUGGGUCUAAUACCGGAUAGGACCACUGCCUGCAUGGGUGGUGGUGGAAAGCUUUUGCGGUGUGGGAUGGGCCCGCGGCCUAUCAGCUUGUUGGUGGGGUGAUGGCCUACCAAGGCGACGACGGGUAGCCGGCCUGAGAGGGUGACCGGCCACACUGGGACUGAGAUACUGCCCAGCCUCCUACGGGAGGCAGCAGUGGGGAAUAUUGCACAAUGGGCGCAAGCCUGAUGCAGCGACGCCGCGUGAGGGAUGACGGCCUUCGGGUUGUAAACCUCUUUCAGCACCGACGAAGCGCAAGUGACGGUAGGUGCAGAAGAAGGACCGGCCAACUACGUGCCAGCAGCCGCGGUAA
rnacentral:rRNA from 1 species